UGUGGCUCAGCCACAACGCAUGUCACACGCAUCCGCAAAGGCGUUUCGUGACGGUGCCGAGCCUCUCCCUGACCGCUCCGCCAGCAUCCCUAGGGAGACGGCGAGCUCCCUCACAUGGUUGGAAGCGAACGCGGCGGUGCGUCUGGACACGCUCAACAGCAAGUCGUUUGACUGCUACGGGUUGCCGCUGCGGCAGUCUGGCAAGGAUGGGCGCCCUCGCUUCUCCCUAAUGAAGUCCGUGAAGAAAUUGGGGUCGUACCUGACCACGCGCAUCAAUCGCUCGUUUCAAGCGUGCCUCAUUCGAGUGGUGGAGUCGGAGAGCAACUUGACGUUUGAAGUGCGGGAGCUGGCGGGCGGAAAAUUCGCCAAGGGGCGGCUCCUCUUCGUCGCCCCGCUGUCGACGCUGGUCGACGUCGCGAGUGACUCCGUCAUGGAAAGAGACGCGGCUGUCUUCGCGCGCUUCCGCUCGCCCUUUCACUCGGCAGCAGGACACAGCAACGUUUUGGUACCUCUCGACGCCUCCACGAACCGAAAUGCACCAUGCACCGCGAUCACGUCCAGCUCCUCCGUAUCGAAGGAGGAGGGCAUCUCGACGCUAUCCAGCGCUUAUGGUGGCAUCGGACUCCUCCUUGUCUUUCGAGCGGCGCAGGCAAACGCAGUGAAUCCGCGGCACUCUUCCUCGAAGUCCUCCUCGGCCUCUCACACAGCAGCGCCCGGUGGGGGCGCUGUUCCGUACACAAGGGUCAGGCUGUGCUUUGUGUCAACGGGAGAACGCAAUACGUGGAUGUCGUUCUGCGCGGAGGCGUACGUGGGGUUGUUGCUGGACUCUGUUCGCACUGGCCGAGACACCGUCUUUGUAGCCGAUGACGACAACCACCCCUCCUCUGUUGCUGCGACAUCCCUCUCCAUCAGCGCUGUGACUAGGGGCGACAUUGUCCACACUGAGAAGCCGACGCAGGAGGCAAUCGCGUGCUACAUCGACUUUUUCCUGUCAGUGAGCGCGAAAGGCGACGCGUGCGGGGGCUCAAACGGCAGCAUAGAUCGUAUUGGUGUGCCCUUGAAAGGACUCUUGAAGGUGCGCGGCGCUGAUGGCGCCUUACACAAUCGAGAGGUACGAGUGGAGCGAAUGGACGGCGUCAACGAUGCACGGCUGCCGGCUGCGCGCGAAUUUCUCGUCCUGUGGCGCAAGCGGUGGUUCGGCAAGCAAGUGGAUGAGCGCAUCGAGCUGGAGACGCUUGCGGUGUACGCUAAAAAUGAUCUUAGCGGGACAGCGUUCUACCUGGAGUUUCCCCACACAGCAGCAGGUAUGGCAGGCGACGGGGCCGCAAGCACUGAGCGGACGUCCUUGCUAGGGCCGAUGGAGCCGACGGAGGCGCAUGGGAUGAUGACGCUCGAGUGUGAGGCAGGCAGCUUCUCUCGCAGGCUCCAAUGGUUGCAAUGGCUCGAGGCGACGCUGAAGCGGCCUGUCAUCUUCUUGCCUGUCGAGCGCCGCGAGGCACAGACCCCAGUGUCCGCAGAGCAAGGGCUACCAAACGAAUUGCCUCGUAACCGUGUAGUGCGGUAGAGCUGGCACGGCGCUGUGCCCUUUGCUCGCACCACCACCGUGCCAUGACGCCUGGACUGCCGCCGCCUGUGUGUAAUCACCUUUGCGUGGCUGCAUACGGGGCCAAUUCAGGCCUACCUCUUUUUCAGGUCCUAGAUGCCCACAAAGACCCUCUCCCUUCCUCCCGCGUGCAGCUCCUCUCUCGCAGAGACGGUUUUUCAUAUCAGCCGAACGUAAUCUGCUCUCGCCACUUGCAUCUUUUUUGUUCAUUGUUUCAUGCAUCAGUGUGUCUGUGCGUACUCGCGAGCGAACCGCUGAAAAAUACCCGCGCUCCCGCAGUGCUUCGGACGCCUCGUGAAAAAAAUGUUUCUCUUACUUGUCGGGGAUGCGCAGCGCUCGCCGACCGCUGCACUUGAUUCCUCAAUCGGGUCGAGCCACAUGCAGCUGCUUGCAGGUAUCUUUGCCGUUGGCGCCCCCUACUGUUCCAGCCGGACACCGAGGCGCAGGGCCUCGCCGCAUCGGUGCUUCAGCAGUAGUUGUGUUCUCCCUUCUUGUCGCGCUUUUCCUGUCCC
rnacentral:misc_RNA from 1 species